rnacentral:rRNA from 2 species
GUAGUGCAUGGCCGCCGUCAGUUCGUACCGUAAGGCGUUCUGUUAAGUCAGAUAACGAACGAGACCCUCAUCCCUAUUUGCCAAGGUCUGUCCGCAGACCACGGGACUAUAGGGAGACCGCUGGCGCGAAGUCAGAGGAAGGCGAGGGCAACGGUAGGUCAGUAUGAUCCGAAUGCCAUGGGCUACACGCGCAAUACAAAGGACGGGACAAUGGGCUGCUACUCCGAGAGGAAGAAGCUAUCCCGAAACCCGUUCGUAGUUCGGAUUGGGGGCUGUAACCCGCCCCCAUGAAGCUGGAUUAGGUAGUAAUCGCGUCUCAACAAGGCGCGGUGAAUAUGCCCCUGCUCCUUGCACACACCGCCCGUCAAACCAUCUUAGUUGUGGGUGGGUGAGGCUACCUUGAUAAUGGGGUAUUCGAGCCUGCCUUCGACAAGGAGGGUUAAGUCGUAACAAGGUAUCUGUAGGGGAACCUGCAGAUGGAUCACCUCCUA